rnacentral:SRP_RNA from 13 species
GCCGGGCGCGAUGGUUCGUGCCUGUAGUCCCAGCUACUUGGGAGCCUGAGGUGCGAGGAUCGCUUGAGUCUAGGAGUUCUGGGCUGUAGUGCACUGAUCGUGUGUCCACUGAGUUUGGCAUCAAUAUGGUAACCUCCUGGGAGUGGGGGACCACCAGGUUGCCUAAGGAGGGGUGAACUGGCCCAGGUUAGAAAUGGAGCAGGUUGGAAAUGGAGUAGGUCAAAACUCCACUGUGCUGAUCAGUAGUGGAAGUGCACCUGUGAAUAGCCACUGCACCCCAGCCUGGACAACAUAGCGAGACCCCGUCUCUA